rnacentral:rRNA from 1 species
CAGCACCUCAAGUGGUCAGGAUGAUUAUUGGGCCUAAAGCAUCCGUAGCCGGCGCUGUAAGUUUUCGGUUAAAUCUGUACGCUCAACGUACAGGCUGCCGGGAAUACUGCAGCGCUAGGGAGUGGGAGAGGUAGACGGUACUCGGUAGGAAGGGGUAAAAUCCUUUGAUCUAUUGAUGACCACCUGUGGCGAAGGCGGUCUACCAGAACACGUCCGACGGUGAGGGAUGAAAGCUAGGGGAGCGAUCCGGAUUAGAGACCCGAGUAGUCC